rnacentral:rRNA from 1 species
AGUGAACGCUGGCGGUAGGCCUAACACAUGCAAGUCGAACGGCAGCACAGUAAGAGCUUGCUCUUACGGGUGGCGAGUGGCGGACGGGUGAGGAAUACAUCGGAAUCUACUUUUUCGUGGGGGAUAACGUAGGGAAACUUACGCUAAUACCGCAUACGACCUACGGGUGAAAGCAUGGGAUCUUCGGACCUUGCGCGAUUGAAUGAGCCGAUGUCGGAUUAGCUAGUUGGCGGGGUAAAGGCCCACCAAGGCGACGAUCCGUAGCUGGUCUGAGAGGAUGAUCAGCCACACUGGAACUGAGACACGGUCCAGACUCCUACGGGAGGAAGCAGUGGGGAAUAUUGGACAAUGGGCGCAAGCCUGAUCCAGCCAUACCGCGUGGGUGAAGAAGGCCUUCGGGUUGUAAAGCCCUUUUGUUGGGAAAGAAAAGCAGCAGGUUAAUACCCCGCUGUUCUGACGGUACCCAAAGAAUAAGCACCGGCUAACUUCGUG